UUUGUGAGAGAUGCUACGUGGUCCCCGCUCAAUCACUCCCUCCUUACCACAGUGGGCUGGGACCAUCAGGUCACCCACCACAUCGUGCCCACGGAGCCUCUCCCAGCCCUUGGACCUAAGAGUGUUGCUGAGUAGAUAAGACAAAAAACAAAUCCCCCAUGAGUAACCACUCCCUUUGCCCUGCCCUCUCAGUCUGUGAGACCACACAGGAGCCUUAUACACUAUGUUGAUACACUAGAUCUGGGCAGUUAAUAGGCAUUGUCUCUCAGCCCAAGGAAGGCUGGAUUCUGGGAUCCUGUAGUCCUAGGGAAGAAAAACUUUCCUAAAAUU
rnacentral:lncRNA from 1 species